UACGGAGGGGGCUAGCGUUGUUCGGAAUUAUUGGGCGUAAAGAGCUUGUAGGCGGUUUGUCGCGUCUGCUGUGAAAAUCCGGGGCUCAACCCCGGACUUGCAGUGGGUACGGGCAGACUAGAGUGUGGUAGGGGAGACUGGAAUUCCUGGUGUAGCGGUGAAAUGCGCAGAUAUCAGGAGGAACACCUAUUGCGAAGGCAGCUCGCUGGGACGUAACUGACACUGAGACGCGAAAGCGUGGGGAGCAAACAGG
rnacentral:rRNA from 1 species